rnacentral:rRNA from 1 species
GUAAUGUAUGGGGAUCUGCCCGAUAGAGGGGGAGUAACUACUGGAAACGGUGGCUAAUACCGCAUAAUGUCUACGGACCAAAGCAGGGGCUCUUCGGACCUUGCACUAUCGGAUGAACCCAUAUGGGAUUAGCUAGUAGGUGGGGUAAAGGCUCACCUAGGCGACGAUCUCUAGCUGGUCUGAGAGGAUGAUCAGCCACACUGGGACUGAGACACGGCCCAGACUCCUACGGGAGGCAGCCAUG